GCUGACUCUCUUUUCAGAUUCAGCCCAGUUGCACCCAAGUAAAAUAAACAGUCUUGUUGCUCACACAAAGCCUGUUGGUGGACUCUCUUCAUAUGGACUCAUGUGACAUUUGGUGCCGAAGACCUGAGACAGGAGGACUCCUUUGGGAGACCGGUCCCCUGUCCUCGCCCUCUCUCCAUGAGAUCCACCCAUGACCUCGGGUCCUCAGCCCAGCCGAAGGAACUUCUCACCAAUUUUAAAUCGGGAAAUUAAAGCAAUGUGAACACCCUCUGGCCAGCCUGUUGGAGGGUGAGAGACCACAUGGAGGAGACAGAGCCCUGAUGUCCCAGCUGAGGACAUCCCAGAAAAGCCUAUUUCCAGACAACUGAGGACAGGUGAAUGAGUUCUUUGUAGAUGAACCAGAAUCCAGUCUAUCUACCUGCUGAGCACAGACAUGUGAGCAACCCCCCCAUCAAGGUCAACUGAGCCUGGCCCAGAUCAACAGAAUCACGAGAUGACCUAUGGACUCAGGAGCAAUCAUGAUGUGGUUGUUCCAUGACACUGAAUGUAGAGGUCGUUGAUUCUGCAGCACCAGCAAACUGACACAUAACACCGUGUUUAAUAUUGGGUUCUGGGCUUUGGGGUCCCUGCAGAGUUCCUGAUUUCAGCCCCAAGGGCUCAUUCACAAAUUUAUUACUCAGAUUCUACCCUGUCAACCCAGGACGUGUUACUUACACAUUUCCCAGUGUGGGCAGCAAGCCACCCAGGUGCCGAGGCAAGAGACCGAGGGCACAAGCUGUUCCAGUAUAAUAAAGAAAACAUAUAAAAUAAGAAUAGUUAUACUAGAUAUAGAUCGUAGAUAUGAUUAUAUAUGAAUAUUACUAAUCAUUAGUCUGUAGCAAUUACUCUUUAUUCCAUUAUAAUAAUAAUCUUCUCUCUACAAUUAUAACUUAAGAGAAACCAGGCCAUACAGAGAUAGGAGCUGAACGGACACAGUGAGAAAUGACCAGAAGACAAGAGUGUGAGCCUUCUAUUAUGCCCCGACAGGGCCACUAGAGGGCUCCUUAGUCUAGCGUUAAUGCCAGUGCCCGGGAAGAUGCCCGUUACCUAGCCGACUUUGGUCUAGCGGUAGCGUCAGUGCCCAGGAAAAGCACCCACUACUUAGCAGACUGGGAAAAGGAGUGUCCCUUUCCCCGGGGGAGUUAGAGAAGACUCUGCUCCACCACCUCUUGUGGAGGGCCUGACAUCCGUCAGGCCUGCCCGCAGUUAUCCAGAGGCCUGUCUCCCUGUGAUGCUGUGCUUCAGAGCAGUCACGCUCCUGGUCCGCUUACAUGUUCCAUCCUGUACACCUGGCUCUGCCUUCUAGGUAGUAGCAGAAUUAGUGAAAGUACUAAAAGUCUCUGAAAUGCAAAAAUAAAGGCAUAAGCUGUCUCCUUUCUCUCCACCUCAGCUGCCAAACAGGGAAGGGCCGCCUGUCCAGUGGAUACAUGACCCACAUGACCUUACCUAUCAUUGGAGAUGGCUCACACUGCUCACCCUGCCCCCUUGUCUUGUAUCCAAUAAAUAACAGCGCAGCCUGGCAUUCGGGGCCACUACUGGUCACUGUGUCUUGGUGGUAGUGGUUCCCCGGGCCCAGCUGUUUUUUCUUUUAUCUCUUGGUCUUGUGUCUUUAUUUCUAUGAUCUCUCGUCUCCGCACAUGGGGAGAAAAACCCACAGACCCUGUAGGGCUGGUCCCUACAUCCCAGGACUCUCUAUCCCACUGUGGAAGACUUCGC
rnacentral:lncRNA from 1 species